CCUACGGGAGGCAGCAGUAGGGAAUCUUCCACAAUGGACGAAAGCCUGAUGGAGCAACGCCGCGUGAGUGAAGAAGGGUUUCGGCUCGUAAAGCUCUGUUGGUAGUGAAGAAAGAUAGAGGUAGUAACUGGUCUUCAUUUGACGGUAAUUACUUAGAAAGUAACGGCUAACUACGUGCCAGCAGCCGCGGUAAUACGUAGGUGGCAAGCGUUGUCCGGAUUUAGUGGGCGUAAAGCGAGUGCAGGCGGUUCAAUAAGUCUGAUGUGAAAGCCUUCGGCUCAACCGGAGAAUUGCAUCAGAAACUGGUGAACUUGAGUGCAGGAGAGGGGAGUGGAAUUCCAUGUGUAGCGGUGAAAUGCGUAGAUAUAUGGAGGAACACCCGUGGCGAAGGCGGCUCUCUGGUCUACGACUGACGCUGAGGCUCGAAAGCAUGGGGAGCGAACAGGAUUAGAUACCCCAGUAGUC
rnacentral:rRNA from 1 species